rnacentral:rRNA from 1 species
GAUGAACGCUGGCGGUAUGCUUAACACAUGCAAGUCGAACGGUCACUUCGGUGAUAGUGGCGGACGGGUGAGUAACGCGUGAGAAUCUGUCUUCAGGUCGGGGACAACAGUUAGAAAUGACUGCUAAUACCGGAUGUGCCUUUGGGUGAAAGAUUUAUUGCCUGAAAAAGAGCUCGCGUCAGAUUAGCUAGUAGGUGGUGUAAGAGACUACCUAGGCUCCGAUCUGUAGCUGGUCUGAGAGGACGAUCAGCCACACUGGAACUGAGACACGGUCCAGACUCCUACGGGAGGCAGCAGUGGGGAAUUUUCCGCAAUGGGCGAAAGCCUGACGGAGCAAUACCGCGUGAGGGACGAAGGCUUUUGGGUCGUAAACCUCUUUUCUCAAGGAAGAUGAUGACGGUACUGGAGGAAUAAGCAUCGGCUAACUCUGU